rnacentral:rRNA from 1 species
UCGAACGAGACCUUCGGGUCUAGUGGCGCACGGGUGCGUAACGCGUGGGAACCUGCCUUUAGGUUCGGAAUAACUCCCCGAAAGGGGUGCUAAUACCGAAUAAUGUCUUCGGACCAAAGAUUUAUCGCCUUUAGAUGGGCCCGCGUUGGAUUAGCUAGUUGGUGGGGUAAAGGCCUACCAAGGCGACGAUCCAUAGCUGGUCUUAGAGGAUGAUCAGCCACACUGGGACUGAGACACGGCCCAGACUCCUACGGGAGGCAGCAGUGGGGAAUAUUGGACAAUGGGCGAAAGCCUGAUCCAGCAAUGCCGCGUGAGUGAUGAAGGCCUUAGGGUUGUAAAGCUCUUUUACCCGGGAUGAUAAUGACAGUACCGGGAGAAUAAGCUCCGGCUAACUCCGUGCCAGCAGCCGCGGUAAUACGGAGGGAGCUAGCGUUG